ACAAACACAAAAAAACCCAAAACAAAACAAAAACCCACAAACCCAAAAAACCCCAACAAUCAAAAAAAGAACCCAAACCAAUUCUGCUAACUGGAGUAAAUGAAAUUAAACAGAUCUUUGUGUGUGAUUACAUUUGUGUGCUCCAGUACAAUACAGAACAAAAGGCAACUUUAUGCUUACAAUCUUCUCUACAGAUUCUGUUUUCUUCAUCAGGAUGAAGCAUUGGAGCAAGGAUACAUUUUCAAAUGCUGUACUGGAAAAAGGGCUACACAUAGGUUUAAGGUUCAGGGUGUGCUUUUAUGACAGGCUUGGGACUUGGACUGCCAAAGCUGAUUAUUUCUUCCACAUACUCACACAGGCUAAUGCUCCAUAUGCUUGGCCAGGGCCUGGACCCCAGUGUCCAAGUGCAGGUCUUAAGUUACCCAGUCAAAGCAAACAGAUUUAGGGUUUGGCUCAUGCACUGUCCAGGCUGAAGUUCAGCUGUUAUUGCUUGAGGCCCACCUCCACUCUCUACAGCUCCUUAGGCUCAGCACUCAGCCUUAUGCACUCUUCACAUGUUUGGCCUCCUUCAUCCUUGCAGAUGGAGUUUCCAGUGAGUGUCCUGCCUUCCCCCCUGCCUGCCUUCUUGUGCAGAGAAGCUAUGAAGAUUAUCUAAGGGCUGGAACCCCUCUCCUGUGAGGAUAAGCAAAAAGAGUCAUGGUUGUUCUUCCUAGGAGAACAAGGCUGUGGGGAAGCCUUAGAGCAGCCUUUCAGUACUUAAAGGGGUCUUAGCAGUACUGGGUUAAUGGCUGGACUUGAUCAUCUUGGAGGCCUCUUCCAGCCUUGAUGAUUCUCUGAUUAUAAGAAGGAUAAGGACAAACUUUUUAGCAGGGACUGUUGUGACAGGAUGAGGGAUGAUGGUUUUAAACGAGAAGAAGGCUGAUUUAGAACAGCUAUAAAGAGCAAGGUUUUUUUAUAAUUACUGUGAUUAAACACUGGAGCGGGUUGCCCAGAAAGGAGGUGGAUACCUCGUUCUUGGAAACAUUCAAGGUUAGGCUAGAGGAAACAUUCUUGGAAACAUUCAAGGUUAGGUCUCUGAGCAACCUGGUCUGGUAAAGAAUGUCCCUGCUUAUUCCAGGAGUUUUUUUACUAGAUGGCCUUUAAAGGUCCAUUUAUUUUAUGAUUAAACAAAAGGAAACAAUCCCCAGAAACUAACACUAACCAAGAGGUAUAAAAGAUAGCAGAGAAUGAAAAUCAGGAAAACAGGGAUAAUAAAAGAGAAAAGCAAACCUACAUCAAAAAGACUGUUUUGUUUAGUUUCUGAAAGAAUGCUUCUGGAAAAAGAUCUUUAGCUUUGGUACAUAAUGGCAAACAUCCUAUGCAUUUACUCAGAGUGCCCUAGGGCAGGUGUUCUCACAGCUGGAAAUACAGAUAGCUGCGAGGUGGGCCUGCAAAGGGGCCUGGAGAUCACACCCCUGUUCUGAGGUUGGGAAUGCAAAGCUCUAUCACAAGGGAUAAUAUACGUAAAAGCUGGUCCAAGAAGUUUGGGAAUCAGUGCUGCAACUUGAAGCCAUACUCAUUCUGAGCAGAAAACAGGUAUGCUUCAGUUUGCAGAGCUUCUCAGAUGAAUUGCAAUUUUGUACACUGGUUAAUAGGCAGAGGAAAUUCUUUUCUUUGGUUUCCACCCUCCCACUUGUUCUUCCUCCUCCCUAGAAGAUUUUAUACUCACAGUAAACCAAGUAUGAAAUUAUUUCAAUAUUUGGUUACGCUCAGAGAGGGCAGAGACCCUGACGAAGCACACAGGGUGGGGAAUCCAUGAUUGUCACAAUUUCUUUUCCCUGUGACUCACUUGCAGGCUUUUUUCAACAAGACAAAUGAACUGCUUUCAAUUCACAGCAAUUUUUAAAUGAAAAAGCUGUUAAGAAUCAAAAGAAGUAUUUUCAAAUUUGACUGCAAAGAUUAAAGAAAGUAGUUCUUUACUGGUCACCUGAAUCUAUUUUAUGAAGACAUCUGAAGCAUUUUAUCAGCUGCUGAGCAGUAUUUACUUAUGAAACUGCUCUAAUUGCUUUGGAAUGUGCACCCUUACUGCUGGAACAGCUCAGCCCUGCUAACACUGAGCAAAGUAAUACUGGUUCAUAGGACAUGCGACUUUUAUACAGCAUUUGUUCCUCAUUCUCAAGGUAAACAGCAUGAAAUUUGAAAAUGAAAAGCAGCAAAUACCUCAUAAACAAUGACUUUUGCAGAACUGCCCUAAGUGUUUACAAAACCAUCAGCUCAUCAGCAAAAUUAAUCAUUGCCAUGACUGAAAUCAUCACAGAUCAGUAAUUUAGAACUAAGCCCAUCUUGCAGCUGGAAAUUGCAUGGGUGAAAACUUAUUCCUGGUGCCCAGUAAAUAAGUACUGGAGCCAAUAUUCAGCUUAAAAGAAGCGGUGUGUCCUGAGCACGAAUAAGCCCUAAGCUUGCAAUCUUGCCCUCUCUUAGUAGGUCAGCAGUGGAGGUCUUGGUAGAUCUAAGAAAAUCUACUCAGUCUUGCCUUAAUCUUCUAAAACUGAAGCAGAACUCUGGUCUGCAUUGCACAUGCCCAGGCUCAGUAACAGCCUGACAGAAAAAAACCCAAGAAAAUUGGUUAUAGCUCUGUCUUUAAGACAAAGCAAUCCCAAAGACUGAGUCUCAACCUGGAAAGUGCAGUUGUUUGAACAGCACUUUACUCUUUGUCUAUCUGUAUCACAAAAUCCCCCUGUAUUUUACCCAGAAGAGUUGGAAAAGCACAAAAUAAUUGCUAUCAUGCAUGUUGAUGUAUAAAACAUAGAAAAUAAAGAACAAUAAAGGACAAAUCAUCCCAAUCCUCCUAGCACUGAUACAGAAGUGAACUGCUAUAUGUAGGAAAUAGCUAAGCCAGUCCCACUGGCCUGGGCCAAACUUUAUAAAGACUUGUAAACUUCACAUGCUUUGAGUUAGUUUCAUAGGAGGCAGGAAUGUCACAUGCCUAUUCCCCACCCCCCCACUUCAAGCUUGAGUUAACAGAAUCCUUGGAUAAAGCAGCUUCAGACAAAACCAGGCCAGGCUUGGAGAUAAACAGCCCUGGUGGCUGCUCAGAGACCAGGGUCCACACCUUCACAAUCAGAUCUUGGAGAAGGCUGAGGGUGACACAGGGUUAGAUGCUCUCAGCUGAGAGGGCUCUUUCUGACUCGUUCAACAAGAAAGUUUCUUGAGUUUUCUGCCUGACAUCCCAUCCAGGUCUUCUCCUGCUCUGUGAAGGAUUAAAACUCCCAAUGAUAUAAAGCAGAAGAAACAGAUGUAAACCCCAGAUUUAUCUCCAGUUCAGAUGAGGCAUCCUGGUUUCACAAAACUGAAUCAGACAGUUUUUGUGUACCUAUGGGAGCAGUUACCACAGCGAAGAGGCAUUAACCUCACCUCUGCAGAUCUGGAUGGCUGCAAAGCGGGCUUGGAAGAUACUCGAAGAUCAAAGUAGCGGAUGCCGCCUUCCAACUGCUCUUUGAAAGUCAAAUUUUGAGUCACUGACCAUUUCUUCAUGAUCUUUCUAACCAAGGAAAUUCUGGCCAAACGUUUGAUGGCUGUUG